rnacentral:rRNA from 1 species
AGCGAACGUUAGCGGCGGGCCUAACACAUGCAAGUCGCACGAGAAUGGAGGCUUCGGCCUCCUAGUAAAGUGGCGCACGGGUGAGUAAUACGUAGGUAAUCUGCCCAUCGGUGGGGGACAACCAGUCGAAAGAUUGGCUAAUACCGCAUCCGUCGGCUGGGUCUGCGGACCUGGUCGGGAAAGCUGGCCUCUAUUUAUAAGCUAGCGCCGAUGGAGGAGCCUGCGUCGCAUCAGCUAGUUGGUGGGGUAACGGCCCACCAAGGCUAAGACGCGUAGCUGGUCUGAGAGGAUGAUCAGCCACACUGGGACUGAGACACGGCCCAGACUCCUACGGGAGGCAGCAGUGGGGAAUAUUGGACAAUGGGCGCAAGCCUGAUCCAGCCACGCCGCGUGAGUGAUGAA